UACAGAGGGUGCUAGCGUUGUUCGGAAUUAUUGGGCGUAAAGGGCGCGUAGGCGGUUUCGCAUGUCCGAUGUGAAAGCCCACCUCUUAAAGGUGGAAUUGCAUCGGAAACUGCGAGACUAGAGUGCCGGAGAGGGUGGUGGAAUUCCUGGUGUAGAGGUGAAAUUCGUAGAUAUUGGGAAGAACACCGAUGGCGAAGGCAGCCAUCUGGACCGACACUGACGCUGAGGCGCGAAAGCGUGGGGAGCAAACAGG
rnacentral:rRNA from 1 species